rnacentral:rRNA from 1 species
UCUGUCUCGCGUGAAUCAUCGAAUCUUUGAACGCAACUUGCACUCUAGGUUCUCCUAGAGUAUGCCUAUUUGAGUAUCGGUACUACACCCCACUCAAACCCACCGCCGCGCGCGGGCGGGUUUGGAUCUGAUGAGUCGUGUGUGCGCACGCGCAUCGACUUGAAGUGUACACUGAAUCGGGCCUAUGCAUACUGUGCAUGCGGUACUGACGUGAUAGUCUUUCAUGGACACCGCGCUUUCUUUCUCUCUCUUGAGGAAGGGGAGGCGCACUCGUCAGGCUCAAUCCCACGUGCCAGUCAUAGUGUGUGUGGUGUGUGUCAUCACACACCCCCACCUACCCAGUCACACACCCCUUCUUUAUCAUUUGGAUCUCGAUCUCAAAUUAGGUAGGACUACCCGCUGAAUUUAAGCAUAUCAAUAAGCGGAGG